GACGAACGCUGGCGGCGUGCUUAACACAUGCAAGUCGAACGGAAAGGCCCUGCUUUUGUGGGGUGCUCGAGUGGCGAACGGGUGAGUAACACGUGAGUAACCUGCCCUUGACUUUGGGAUAACUUCAGGAAACUGGGGCUAAUACCGGAUAGGAGCUCCUGCUGCAUGGUGGGGGUUGGAAAGUUUCGGCGGUUGGGGAUGGACUGGCGGCUUAUCAGCUUGUUGGUGGGGUAGUGGCUUACCAAGGCUUUGACCGGUAGCCGGCCUGAGAGGGUGACCGGCCACAUUGGGACUGAGAUACGGCACAGACUCCAACGGGAGGCAGCGGUGGGGAAUAUUACACAGUGGGCGGAAGCCUGAUGUAGCAACGCCGCGUGCGGGAUGACGGCCUUCGGGUUGUAAACCGAUUUCGCCUGUGCCGAAGAGUGAGUGACGGUAAUGGGUAAAGAAGCACCGGCUAACUACGUG
rnacentral:rRNA from 1 species